rnacentral:rRNA from 1 species
UACGUAGGGGGCUAGCGUUGUCCGGAAUCAUUGGGCGUAAAGCGCGCGUAGGCGGCCCGGUAAGUCCGCUCUGAAAGUCCAGGGCUCAACCCUGGAAAGCGGGUGGAUACUGCCGGGCUAGAAUCCGGAAGAGGCGAGUGGAAUUCUUGGUGUAGCGGUGAAAUGCGUAGAUAUCAAGAGGAACACCUGAGGUGAAGACGGGUUGCUGGGCUGACACUGACGCUGAGGAGCGAAAGUGUGGGGAGCGAACAGG